AGACAGCUCUGUUGCAGUGGAGACAGCUCUGUUGCUGAGGUUUCAUACCAUACUCCAUUCCUCCUGUGUAAUUGACACACCUGCAACCCAUCCCCUCAUCAGCACCACAGUAUUUCAACCCCGGUUUUCCUGUCCCUCAUCGCCAGUUCAACGCUUCGUCCAGAAGACCACAUCCUCCGGCUCAUCAGCCUGCCUGCCACACCUGCCUGCCCCACCGGAUCUCCUUCGCUCUCCUUCACCUCAAUUCAAUAAACCAGUCAAUUUGACCUUCAGUUGAGUCGUGCAUUUGGGUCCACACCCCAGUAGCCAGUUGGUCCAACAUAACAAAAAUUAUAACUUGACAACAAUUAAAUUGUUGCCUACAUAUUCACACAACUGUUAAUUACGAUAUCUACCUACAAUAACCAAAGGAAAACUUACGGACGUAUUCCUCCGAGGAUCCGAUAUUCAGAACAGCCGUUGGUACUUAUCCGUUUAAAACAUGUUGAAACUAAACUUCAUCUACUUAUACAGUAAUUUCAUCCAAAAACAGUAUCUCUCUUUCGCCACUAGGCGUCGCCAUUGCACCACAAUUAGUGUAGUGCAGCCUAACAAAACAGUCUCAAUACAAUUGAAUACACAUUGACAUUUCUUGAACAGAACAGUCUU